GCGUAGCGGCGGUGGCGGCAGCGACUGGUGGUGGUGGGUUUAUUGCAGUCAGAAGAUGCUGGAAUCGACUGUACCUUGCAUGACUUAAAUGGUAAAUUAUAUGAAACUGCGGUUCAUAAUAAAGCGGUAAUUAUUAUUAUUUUCUUGGUCGUUCGUUUGUUUCCACUAGGAAGGAACCAAAAUAUAUACUGCUGUUUUAGUUUUUUUUUUUUAGUUAAAGUUGCUAUGUUUUUUUUUCUUGAAUUUUGCCUAUAUCUUUAGUAAUUUUGUUAAUAUUAGUUAAAUUUAUUUUUAGUAAUUUAUUAUUUUUUAAAAUUAAUUUAGAAUGUGUUUGAUAAAAGUAAAUAUUGAUUUUGAAUAAUUUUGGAUCAAAGAUAAAUAUAUUAAUUUGAUUUUUUAAUAAAAUAAAAUCAAUUUAAUAUUAUUUACUAAUAAGUAUUUAUCUAUCUACUUAUCUCAUUCCAAUAAUUUUUUUAAAUAUAUAUUAAAUAUACAAAAUUUUCAAUGGUAAAACACAUCAUAAAAAGGUGAUAUUAUUAGAAAAACCUUUAAAAAAAAUUCUUUUUUCUUCAAGUGUUUGUUUAUUUUUUGUUUUGCCCAGCAGCAAUGGUGCAGCUUCCGGGCUAACUAUUGCUUGCCUUCUUCUCCCUCCCACCAACCCUCUCUUUUUUUCUUUUUUUUUUCUCAUUUAUUUCACGUGUCUUUUCUUUUUUCAAUUUGCAGAUCUAUUAUGUGGGUAUUCUUGUUGUCUUCACAAGUUAUGUUAAGUAGAUGAUAGCGUUUGUCGUUUGCUAAAACUCCAUCGGCCACUAGUAGUUUUUCUUGGAAAGUGGGUGACUUUUCGUCAGCUUCUUAAUUUGUUUUGAGAUAAAUGAUUUCAUGAG
rnacentral:lncRNA from 1 species